rnacentral:rRNA from 1 species
GACGAACGCUGGCGGCGUGCCUAAUACAUGCAAGUCGAGCGCUGAAGGCUGGUUCUUGUGCUAACUGGGUGAGCAGCGGACGGGUGAGUCACGCGUGGGGUAUCUGCCUUUGAGCGGGGGACAACGUUAGGAAACGCAAGCUCAUACCGCAUAAACACUUUAAACACAAGUUUUUAGAAUGAAUGAUCCAAUUGCAUCACUCAAGGAUGAUCCCGCGUUGUAUUAGCUAGUUGGUGUGGUAAAGGCUUCCCCAGGCGAGGAUACAUAGCCGACCGGAGAGGGGGGUCGCCCGCAUUGGGGCGGGGACGCGGCCCAAAGGCCUGCGGGAGGCAGCAGAAUGGUAGCGUCGGCAAUGGGCGAAAGUCUGACCGAACAGGGCCGCGGGAGAGGAGAAGGGUUUCGGAGCGUAAAACUCGGUUGGUAGAGGAGAACGGUUUUGGGAGUUGAAAGCUCAUCAAGUGACGGUAGCUACCCAGAAAGCGACGGCUAACUACGUG